UGCGGUGGCGGGGCGGUGAGGGUGGUGGCAACACUAGAAAGGGUACCCGAAUAAUGUAAGGUGGCACUUGCAGUUACAUUGUCUACAGCAAUGGGAGCGUCCAUGAAAGGGGCGGCUGCAACCAGGUAUUUGCCGGAGUUGCGGUCUGCAGUUAAAAGAACGUUCGUGGUUUGGCCUGGGGUUAUAAGGACUGUGUCAGUUUUGAAGGGUUUAACGUAGGCGGCAUCAACCUCAACAACUGUCAGCUGAUGACCAGCAAUCUUGAAGAAGAGCUCUUCAUUAAGUGCAGCAUUGAUUAUCCUAAGCAUGUAGGUCUUGCCGGAACGUACUGGUAAGGUAAAUCCCCCUGCAGUUCAAGCAAAAUAAGGAUUCAAUAAGUUUCCAACUAAACGAUAUAUAUAAUCUUGUGCUGGGUUUGAAACUCUGCAAAAAGUCUCAGUUUUGCUUAUUGGCGUUAAGAUGUUAUAUUCUAUUUGUUGGGGUUUUAAUUUGAACCUUGUGAAGGGCAGGUUGAGACAGGUCCUGGAUGGCCAUUAAUGGUGUGAGCAUCUGAGACAUUUGGUGCCAACCCAGAUUUCAUGGCUUCAUUGACCACAGCUUCAACAUCUGAUUUCCACCAUUCACCUACAACUCCAAAAAAUUUCAUAUCAUUAUCAUCU
rnacentral:lncRNA from 1 species